UACGUAGGCAGCAAGCGUUGUUCGGAGUUACUGGGCGUAAAGGGUGUGUAGGCGGUUCUUAAGUUUGGUGUGAAAUCUCCCGGCUCAACUGGGAGGGUGCGCCGAAUACUGAGGGACUAGAGUACGGGAGAGGAAAGUGGAAUUCCUGGUGUAGCGGUGAAAUGCGCAGAUAUCAGAAGGAACACCUGUGGUGUAGACAGCUUACUGGACCACUUCUGACGCUGAGACACGAAAGCGUGGGUAGCAAACAGG
rnacentral:rRNA from 1 species